CCAUGUCGUCUGUGACGGGGAACUUGUCUGGGAUCCGCAUGCAGCGGCGGAUCAGGCCUGGGUUGAUGCCAUUGAGAUUAAGCUCUCACUGGCUGACAAGGAGAAAGUCCUCCAUCCUCAUCCUCUUCCCUACUCAUCCCUCACCCCUCUGGGACCAGAAAGUGUCAGGACCCCAGGAUAAGCUCCUGACAUUCCCAGGAUAUAAGAUGACCAGAGGCUUCUUGAAGAUAGAAAGGUCUCACUCAACUUCAUGUUCCUGGUGCCCAGUACUAUGCUGACACACGGGAGGUACUCAACAAAUGUUCCCAGAGGUGAACAUCACCUGUACCCAACAAAUGCUUGUUGAAUGUUUGGAUAAAUGCAUGAGUAGUUGAUGGAUGGAUGGAUAGAUGGGAAGAGCAGUAUACUUGCGAACUGGAUGGAAGUUGUUACCCAACCACUAAGCUGGUAUUUGCUUCAAUAUAUGUCUUUUG